UGCAGUUCUGGGGAGUCAGCUGCAGGAUUUUAACGAGAACGUUUGGUCAUUACAUUUGCACUCUCAUGGACAACUUUUAAUUUGAUCAGCAAGACAUCUUGGAACUCAAUCUUCUGUUGGAUCACAGGAAAAAAAACAAGACACCAGGAGGAACUGGAAGGGCUUCAUCUUAGGAGGAAGCCGCUUUCCUUGUCAUUAGGGCUGUAUUCAAACAUCGUGUGGAACUGUACAAAUAUUUAUACCAAAAAUAUAGAUAAGAACAGGCGGGGCGACGUCAGCCACACGAGGAGCGCUGCGCCUGCACCUGCGGUGACUUCCAAGAAGCUGAAUCCUUGGUUCUCAGUGGAGGGCUUAGAUCACCCGAGUCGUGCCAGUCCGCCUGUCCUCAUCUUCACUGUUCACUUUUGAGUUUCUGUUCUGUUUUGUUUUCCUUUCCGUCGUCCGUCCGUUGGUUUGUCCGUCCGUCCGUUUGAAUCUCUACAGCACACUUAAUGCAACUUUUGAAAUCUGCAGGUUUUUAAUGUCUUGUGAAAAUUUGCAGAGGGGUGGGUGUGUGUGGCAAAUGGGUAAUGCACGGGAAGUAAUGAGAAACAACAUACGUAACUUAAAUUCAUUUUCUUGCCCCCCAACCACCACCUCCCAGGAACCUGCAAGGAUAGUGACCACCCCAUCCCUUCUCAUGGUCAGCACUUUAGUUUGUCUGCCCCACUCUCUUGCAGUGAGGAUUACUUAAGACUUGGUAACGCAUGUAGCCUUUUUUUAGUAACCUUGGAAACAGUAGUAAUUCCAAGGGGUCAUAAACCUUGCCUGGACAUUCGCCACCUAAACGACCAGUGUGGUGCUGCAUUCUGGCCAGUAAAUUCCAUGUUUUGGCUCUUAUCUCAUCCAAGUGGAGUGGUUUCUGUGUACAUACAAAAAGGUAGAAAUGAAAAAAAAAGAAAGCGAGAGAAUAUUUGAAAGGGGUUAUAUUAAUUGCUAAAUAUUUUAUUCACAGAGGUCAAUAACAUGGCAAGAUGAAAUUAUUUGUAUAGUUUUCUCCGAAUGAGCGAGAACAAUGUGGAUGUAUUGUUUGUAUAUAUUGUAUAUAUUAAAACAAAGAUGUGCAUGAAAUCCAGAAAAAAAAAAAAAAAAAGCAAAGCAUUAGUGGCUAUGGUCUGUACAAUGAAACAAAAAAAAAACUUUAUUUCACUAUAAGAGUACUUUAUUUUAAAUGUUCUGUAGAAGAACAUUUUGCAAAAGCAUGACCUGCAAAAAAAAAAUAAAAUAAAAAAGAGCUACUGUAUUUAGACUUAGGAAAAGAGGCAGAGUAGCAUUACUUUAAAAAAAAAAGGAUAUGUUUACAUUUAAUUUUGGCUAUCAGGAGUUUAUUUUAUUUUAUUUAAAAAAUAAUUUUUUUGCCAAAGGUGCCAAGUAAUGUGAAUGCUGAUAUUGCUUACGAAAAUUAAGUUACUUUUGCAAAAUAGAUAAUCAUAAGAUGAAUCCUUAGAGACCUUAACACCAUCCACUCACACCAACAAAGAACAUUAGGACGAUCAACGUUUAUCAAAAAAAAAAAUUAGAAAAUGAGAAAAAUGACACGUUUUCAUAUCUCCUGCUGGAAAAUAAAUAAAUAAGUAAAAAAGAAUAAAAGUUGCUCGUGAGACAAAAUAAAAGUAAAACAUGGUGGAGAUUGGUGUUGAAGGAAGGGUGCCACGGUACAGUACUUUCCAGGUAAUGAGGAGCCAAAGAAUUCCAAUGCUUUCAAAGCUAACCUGUGUCAAACGGAGAGAACCAAUUUUGCAUUUGCUAAUUGCCAGUUUAAAAUUCCCAGGUUAAGUGUGAGAAAUGGUUGGUAUGAGAUUUUUUUCUUUUAGAAAAAAAAAAAACAAAAAACCAACAUGGUCUGGCUGCCAACCGUGAGUUAAAACUCAAGGCUUGUUGUGAAGCCUAAAAAUAUUCACAAAUGAGCUUUAAGCUGGUGUCUUCAGAAGGGAGGUAGAAACAAAAGGAUUGUGGUAAAAAUAAAUAAAUAAAUAAAACUGGGGUCAGUGCUCUCGGUGCCUUUUCUAUAAUUGUACUUGUUUUUUAAUUACUUCCUUUCACUGCCAACCUCAAAUUACUGUACAGUACAUGUCUUUCUGCUUGUGAUCAGCUUGGAACAGCGACAGCCCCACAGCUAGGAGCCACCUGUACAUUUGUAAGCUGACCUGACCCAAUUUUGGUUUUACAUGUGUGGGUUAUGUUGCAGCUGUUGCAAUCCUCGACCCCCCCAGCCCCCCACCCUGGACAUACCCAUUAUUUUACACAAUUUGACCUGUCUGAGGACACUGAGUGAUUUACAUAAACAAUUGUAUUCAUAACAGAGAGUAGAACAUAAAGCCAGCUCUUUCAGAACAUCCUAUCUCAGUCAUGGAUUUGGAUACAUUCACUCCAUUGCUUAUGGUUCAGAUGAAUGAUCAUUUGACCAGAGCGGUGACCUAGGUGGAUUUGCUUCAAACCCUCACAUUUAUUUUUCAAAACUAAAUGUUUCACAUGCCACAUUAUUAACUGAAUGAGUUGGAAAACUCUGGAAGAUAGAGACUUACAUAGAAAUAGUUCUUAUGGAGGGGAUAGAAGUAGGGUCAAAACCUACCAGUGUGACUGUGAAUUCUAGGUGAAGUCGAAGCGUACUUCCACUGACACAAAGCAUUUCUGACCACCUUCUUUGAUUGUGACUCUUUUAAUUUUGAAUAAGGUGAUAGGUAGGCGCAGCUUUCUUGGAUAAUCUGAAUUCCCAAGUGCCAGGAGUAGGAUUUCAUGAUAAAAAUUAAUAGCUAAUCUUAUUCUGUCUCCUGAAGAUUUAAUUGCUAUCCUUGUUACCCAUUCAAAAAUCAGCUGUACUGUGUGAAUGAAAUAAAGACAUUAAGACGAACCCCUUUCUGGCUGCACGGUCGCUUACGGCAGUUCCACACAGUAGUUGGCGCCCAACGGGGGGUCCCUGAGACUUGCAUGUAAAACUAGUCUAGAUGUCUUCUUUUUUUUUGUAAGUUUUAUUUUUGUUAAUUGUGCAUGUAAAGCAUCAUGGAGUCAAUGGAUCUGUUGAAGAACUCAGCUGCUGGAAACCAUGCAAAAUGUUUUGAAUUGCCCUUAAAAAUAUGGAAAAUGUUUUCUGAAUGCUUUCUAUUCUUCCUGCUGUAAAUUAAAAAUGAAGAAAAUUUCCCCAUAUCAUCCGCGUUUUGCUUUAACCUGACCUAAAACCCAAGGUGUUGUGGGUGGGAAGUUUGUUUGUUUUUUUUUUUUUUUCACCUCCCACACACAGUGUCCUCCCACCCAGCGUUUCACUUAGAGCCACUUUCCCAAAGCACUUGCCUACCCUGCCUGGUUCCUCAGUACCUCGAGUCUUUCUUCUUAAAUGGGUUGCUUGGAAGAUAAGGAUCUCGAUCUUACAUUAACCCUUCUCAUGUAGCUCAGAGAACCCAUGAAGUCCCAACGCUUACGUAUAAGGAUGACCUUGA
rnacentral:lncRNA from 1 species